ensembl:lncRNA
CAAGAGACAGAGAGGAGAAAUCGCAAUUCUUAUCAGAGGGAAUCAUCGCAGCGAUACAUUCACACUGCUGCCAUGGCAACGGAGCAUUCCAAAGAAUUUUGAUGAGCGAUCAGGAGAGAGAGAGAGAGAGAGAGAGAGAGAGAGAGAGAGAGAGAGAGAGAGAGGAAGGUGGGGGAGAUGGCAAGGAAGACAAUUUGUUACCUGAACUACAUGAGCAAGAGUGAGGAUGAUAUUCAGCUCUAUAUCAUUCCUGCAGGAAAUCAGACAGACACAGCAACACUUCGGAGGAAGAACUGGAUGCUGGAUUUAAAGGCUGCACAGCUGCCAAAUCAGGAAGAGGCUCGGCAGCGGGAAACCAAUUUGGCAUGUAACAUUACACCCAGAGCUCAUAUCCCAUCAUCCUCUGCUCCGUCAGACCGCUUUCCUUUGCCCUGAACCUGCCUGGAGUAAGAAAACAAACCUCCAGGAGAACAUGCUGGGAACAAACAGACAGACCCAACCGCGUGCCAACGAUAUUCACAAGCUUUCACAAAGGAAAGAGAAAGUGCAGUGAGAUCUCUUAAAUAUCUCAGUUCCUUCUCCAGCAAUCAGACUGAAUGAAAACAGCACAGUACAUCUCAGCAAUGUCUCAAAUGCUCAGAUUUCCUAAGAGAGAAUCCUCAAAACUCACAAGAUCUCAAUAGAACCUCAGUCAUUUCUCAUCAAAUUUUAUAGCUCUGUACUCUUACUGUAUGUCAACAUUUGACUUAGUUUUACUUUUUCUGAGGAAUAUUAAGAUAGAUAUCUCAGGCAAAGUUCAUACUGUACUUCAAUAAAAAAUAACUACAGUGAGUCUCAAGAGUUAUAAAACAGCGGCCUAAUAAAAAUGAAUAA